GGGCUCGUAGUGUAGUGGUUAUCACGCCUCCCUGUCACGGAGGAGAUCGCCGGUUCAAGUCCGGUCGGGCCCGCCA
rnacentral:tRNA from 1 species